GUACACACCGCCCGUCGCUACUACCGAUUGAAUGUUUUAGUGAGAUCUUCGGCUUGGUUUUCCGAGCGGCUUUCGGGUCGUUCGGUUHWHAUCGAAAAGAUGCUCMAACUGGAUCAUYUAGAGGAAGUAAAAGUCGUAACAAGGUAUUCGUAGGURAACCUGCAGAAGGAUCA
rnacentral:rRNA from 1 species